UUGGAUUUGUGCAUGUGUAUAAUGGAAUCACUUUUUUUUUUUUACAGCAGAAACUAUCACAACAUUGUUAACAUACUUCAAUGAAACUCCAAGAAAUGAAAAAAAAAUUAAUGGGUUUUGUCACUUCCUACCUGUACGAGCCCGAGCAAGUUAUUCCGUUUCACUAGGCUGCAGUUUCUUUUCUUCUGCAAAAAUGGGACUGAGGGUGGUGUGACUUUGGUGGGACCGCUGUGCAGAUGCAGUGGAACCCUGCGUGUCGUUGACUUGGGUGGGCACUGUGCCGAUAAGAGCCCUAGAAACGGCACGCUCGGCUGUGCUGCUCUGCCAGAUGGCAUCUUCUCUUAUUACAACAUCCUUCUAUCGUUCCUGUAACUCAGUAUCAUUUUCCAACUGCAGCAGAACUUCUCCGGGACUGGGUUCUGGUUUUCACUCUGGAGAAAUGAAUGAGUCAUGUCAGGAAUGCGUAAUAAAAAGGAGGGAAGGCAGGGCUCAGACUCUGCGCACAGGCUUAUCUGUGGGAGGGGUGAGCUGGACCUGCCUCAUACCACCUUGCCCCUGAUUGAGGAUGCUCACCCUGAUAUAGUCACGAUUUUAAGUCAACUGAUGUCAUGUUGGUAGCUUUAAAUGGUCCCUGGUGAGAGAAUUAAUUCCAAGAAAAGAGGCCAAAGCUAUAAACCAGGUCACCCCCCUACCCGACCCCCCAUGUUGUAAAACACUUUCUGUAUUGGCCAGGGUUCUGCAGAGAAACGGAACCAAUAGGAGGCACAUAUGUAGAUACAGAUGAUGCAAAUAGAUGCUCUAGAUGCAAGUAGCUGCUUUAGAUGCUCUAGAUGCUCUGGAAGUUAUAGAUGCUCUGGAUGUUAUAGAUGCUCUAGAUGAUGUAGAUGCUCUGGAUGUCACAGAUGCUCUAGAUGAUGUAGAUGCUCUGGAAGUUAUAGAUGCUCUGGAUGUCACAGAUGCUCUAGAUGAUGUAGAUGCUCUGGAAGUUACAGAUGCUCUGGAUGUUAUAGGUGCUCUGGAUGUUACAGAUGCUCUAGAUGAUGUAGAUGCUCUGGAAGUUACAGAUGCUCUAGAUGAUGUAGAUGCUCUGGAUGUCACAGAUGCUCUAGAUGCCCUAUAUGUAGCUAGAUAUAAAGAGGAGGUUUAUUAUGAAACUGGCUUAUGUGAUUUGGAGACAAAGAAUUCCCAUAACCUACAGUACACAAAGAGGAGACUCUGGAAAACAGGUGACACAGUUUGGUUCAAGUCUGAAGGCCUUGAGGUUCAAGUCUGAGCCCGCAUCCCAGGGUGGGGGAAGACCUACCACCCAGCUCACGCCUGGAGCACCUUCACCCCCUCCUACCUCUGUUCCAUGCAGGCCCCCAGGGGAUUAGAGGCUGGCCACCUACAGUGCGGAGGGCUCUUCACUUCGCCCACAGAUCCCAGUACUAACCUCUCCCAGAAACACCCUUGCAGACCCGCCCAGAGACACUCUUUCACUAGCUACACCCAGUCAAGGUGACAAAAAAUCAACCAUCACAGUUAUCAAAGUAUUGAGUAUAAACGCCUAGAUCAGAUGAC
rnacentral:lncRNA from 9 species